rnacentral:rRNA from 1 species
CCUACGGGUGGCAGCAGUGAGGAAUAUUGGUCAAUGGACGAGAGUCUGAACCAGCCAAGUAGCGUGCAGGAUGACUGCCCUAUGGGUUGUAAACUUCUUUUAUAAGGGAAUAAAACGCUCCACUUGUGGCUUUUUGCAUGUACCUUAUGAAUAAGGAUCGGCUAACUCCGUGCCAGCAGCCGCGGUAAUACGGAGGACCCGAGCGUUAUCCGGAUUUAUUGGGUUUAAAGGGAGCGUAGAUGGGUUGUUAAGUCAGUUGUGAAAGUUUGCGGCUCAACCGGAAAAGUGCAUUUGAUACUGGCAGUCUUGAGUACAGUAGAGGUAGGCGGAAUUCGUGGUGUAGCGGUGAAAUGCUUAGAUAUCACGAAGAACCCCGAUUGCGAAGGCAGCUUACUAGACUGUAACUGACACUGAGGCUCGAAAGUGUGGGUAUCAAACAGGAUUAGAUACCCGAGUAGUC